rnacentral:lncRNA from 1 species
GAGGGAUGGCACGGGCAAGAAGCUGGCACUUAUUGAGCACUCACUGUAUGUCCAGCACUUUGCCAACACUUAAUCUGCAUUAUCUCCCUCAGCCCCCCCCCCAUGAUGUGGAAGUAGAGAUGAUCUCGUUUAUUGCUAGGAUUCAGAACACUGACCCAUUUGUUCCAGCAAGCUGCAGCCAGGAAGCCGCCUUCAGCUCUGCCAGCAGAGAAAGAGGGAAGGAAGGGGUGUAGAUGGUGUGACCCUCACGGGCGGAACCCUGGAGGAUGUCGUACAUCCCAGAAAACCCACUACACCUCCGCCUCAUAGAGAGGAAGUUGAAAACGCAUCGAUCUCUGUGACCAAGGUUAGCCAAGCAGCAGUUCGCUGUACGAAUAAAUGUCUGGAAGCUCAUGGCCACCACUCUGAGCACCUCUUGUAAUGGUAGAGGCCAAAGGUAACUUGUAUUAACCUCAUGAUGGCUCAAUAAAUUUCAUAUUAAAAC